rnacentral:lncRNA from 1 species
CGGCAAGCUGGUGUGGCCCCUCAGUGGGCCUGGGCGCCGAGCCCUGGGCGAGCCGGAAGGCAGAGCUCUUCUCGUCAAUGGUCGCUUCUGGGAUAGACCGCCGGUGGCUUUCCUAACAGAACACGGGUCCUCAGAGCGCCGGAGAUGCUAUUGCCCCCAGCGGUGCUGGCGAGGCCUCCCGCCCGCAGGCACUGGGCUUUCUGGCCUUCAGGGAGGCAGGAACCCUCCACUCUUCAGUCUCUGCCCCCAAGCAUACCGCACUGCCCAGGCUGAGAGAGCAGCGCCACUUUUCAGAAAGGAAAAGCUAUGAGAAAGGUUGUCCCCUCUCCCUAACCCUAACCCUAACCCUAACCUCUCCCUACCCAAGUGGCGUGGUCAGGGCCCUCGGGAAAACGGGGGCCAUCGAAGCUCAGGAGCUGGCAGGGGCCCUGACGACCAUGUGGGCCCCUCAGUGGACUCCCAGUCCUGCCAGGGCCUUGAAGUGCACACGGGCCAGACCUGGACAGACCACCUUGAGGUUCUGAGAGUUGCCCUUGGAGUAGGAGGCUCGAGCUGCAGAGGGAGGUGACUCGGUGUCAAGCGCCUGCCUCCUGAGCUGGAAGUGGUGGGCGGGAUCUCCCACACUCCUCUUGGCCUGGGGGGGACCCAGUAGCCUCCACCGGGUCAGUGCCCAGGAGGCCAGGCCCACUCCCCCACCCCCACCUCCCCCUUGGCUGGGGUGUGGUGCAGAGGGAGAGCACUUGCCUAGUCUGUGGCAGGCCCUGGGGUCCCUCCUGGGCCCUGGAUGGCAGGGAGUGAGCAGAGAGGUUGGAGUGUGCAUGAUAAGGUCCACCUGGGCUUUCUCCUCAUUGACUUCUGCAAGGUAAUUGAAGGUAAAACGCGUGACUUUUUCUUUUGAUGGGAAGAAGCAGAUUUGGAUGGAACUAAUGUUGGAAUCUAGAUGGAAAGGGGAUUCUUUGCCUAAGACAUCAGUGUGGGAGCCCAGCUGGUCACUCAGGCUUUCCUUUUGUCCGUCCCUCCCUGUCUCCUUCCUUUCUUAAUUUUUUCCUUUUUAGGUUCCUAUAAGGGAUCAAGAGCUGGGAUGCAGAGAGGGCUGAGAAACAGUCUCUGAGGAGCUCAUGUUCUAAGGGUUAAUUUGAAUGAUUUUCAAAGAGCUCCAAUGAGAAAUAGGUCUGUGUCAUAUGGAGGGUGAAGCCUCAGUCCUGUUGGUCAUGGAAGGGGCACAGGGAGGUGGAGUGACGAUGACAAGGAGGUGUGAUUUUGGAAGUAAGUCCUGAGAAUGGGCUCAUUCUUGGUAAACCAGGAAUGCCCUGGAAAAUUGGUGAUUGGCAAGUGGAGUGAGUGAGUCUUACUUUUUUUUAUAUAUAUAUUUAUUUUUUUUGUUGUAGUUGGACACAAUACCUUUAUUUUAUUUUUAUGUGGUGCUGAGGAUCAAACCCAGGGCCUCGCACAUGCUAGGUGAGUGCUCUACCGCUGAGCCACAACCCCAGCCCCUAAAGACCCUCUUAAUCAAUCAAUUCAAUUUAUUUAUUUAUUUUUGGUACCUGGGGAUUUAACCCAGGGGUGCUUCAUCACUGAGCCACAUUCCCAGUCCUUUUUAUUUUCUAUUUUGAGAUGGGUCUUGGUAAGUUGCCUGGGACUUCGCUAAGUUGCCGAGGCUGGCCUUCCGAGCCCCACCUCCUGAGCUGUGAGGAUCACAGACAUGUGCCACGAUGCCUGGCGGUUUUUAUUUUUUAGAGCAAUUUUAGGUUACAGUAAAACUGAGGAGGAAGCCUGGAGAUGUCCCACGUGCUCCCUGUUCCCCCGAUGUCCCCCCACACUAGGGAUGUCCCCCAUCAGAAUGCUGCAGAACCUGCACUGAUGUGUGUCUGUCACCCAAAGCCCGUAGUUCACACGACGGCUCACUCUUGUGGCGCACCUUCUAGGUGUUCUAACAGCUGCGUAGUGAGAUGUGAGAAUCACCUCACUGCCCGAGUCCUCGGUGCUCUGCCUCCUUACGCCUCCUGCCUGCUGACCCUCGGACGGUACCGCUCAUCCCUUCACUGCCUUCGUAAAGCGCCUCGGUCAGUAGCAGGCCUUUUGAGUUUCUUCCUUGCCUUUCAAGACUUCAGAUCACAGCUUCUUUAUCCAUGCGCUGUCUGAAGGACAUCUUGCCUGCUUUCAGGUUUUACCAAUCAUGAAUGAAUCUGCUGUAAGCAUCCCUGUGCAGGUUUUGUGCUAAGGUAGGCUUCCAACACUUGAUAGACCAAGAAGCAUGAUCACUGGGUUGUAUGCUGAGAGCUUAUCUGGCUUUUUGAGAAACUGCCCAACCACCUUCCCAAGUGGUUGUGCCAUUUUGUAUUCCUGUGAACAGUGAAGGAGAGUUCCUGUUGCUCCCCAUCUUUGCCAACACAUGAGGUGAGUCAUGUUCUGAAUUGUGGCCUUUCUAACGGGUGUGUAGGGGUGUCCCACAGUUGUUUAAUUUGCACUUUGAGGAUGACAUGAUGUGGAGCAUUUUUUCAUAUCUUUUUUCUAUCAGUAUAUCUUCUUUGGUGAGGUGCUUUUUAAGGUCUUUGGGUCAUUUUUUUACUCAGUUGUUUAUUAUUUUUGAGUUUUAAGAGUUCUCUGUGUGUUGGUGGAUAGUAACCUUUCGGAUAUGACUUGUGCAAAUAUUUUCUCUGGUUGUAGUUUGUUUUCAUUCUCUUGAUAGCCUCAGAUAUUUUCAUGAAGUCCAGUUCUUUCCUGGUUUGUGUCUUAAUUGUGUUAGAGUCCUUCCCAAGCCCCAACUCAGCUGGGUGUCCUCUGCUGUCUCCCAGGAGUUUUGUAGCUUUGUUCUUUACAUCCAGGUCUGUGAUCCAGGUUGAGUUAAUUUUAUGAAGAGUGUUAAGAAUGUCUAGAAAUACUUUUAUUUAUGUGUGUAGUUACUGUUUGUUCCUGUACCAUUUGUUGAAAACAUUUCAUUUGUUCCACUGAAUUGCCUUUUCUUCUUUGCCAAAAAUUCAUAGACCUGUGUUGGGCACCUGUUUUUUUUCGUGGAUCUGUUAGUCUCUCCUCUCAUCAGGCUCCACCAUCGUGUUUCCUGUAGCGUCCUGUUAAGCUCUGAAGUCAGGUGGCCUCAGUCCCACCAACUUGGUUCUUCUCGGUGAUGUUUUACUAUUCUAGUUCCUUUGCUUCUCCAUGUAAAUUUUAGGGUUAGUUUGUCAAUAUUCUCACAAUAACUUGCUGCAUUAAUCUACUGUUCAAGUUAGGAAGAACAGACAUCUAGACAAUACUGGAUUUUUUUCCCUAUCUGUGAAUAUGGAAUAUAGCUUUCUUUGAUUUUUUUUCAUCAGAGUUGCAUUAUUCUUCUCAUAUAGCUCUUGUACAUAGUGUGUUAGAUUCAUAACUAAGAAUUGUCAAUUUCUUUUGCUAAAGUUAAUGGUAUUGUUUUAAUUUCUAAUCCUACUCACUUGUUGUUGUUAUAUGAAAAAGCAACUGACUUUUGUGUUUCACUGUGUAUUUUCCAACCUCGAUAUAAUUGCUUAUUAGUUCCAGGAGUUUUUUUCUCCCCAUAAAUCCUUCAGCUUUUCUGCAUAGAUCAUCAGGUUAUCUGCAAACAAAAACAGUUUUAUUUCUUCCUUCCUAAUUAGUGUACCCAUUAUUUCCUGUUCUAGCCUUAUUGCAUUAUUUAGGAUUUCUAAGAUAAUGUUGAAAAGGAGUGCAAAAGAGGGUACCUCCUUCUCUGUUCCCUCCCCUGUUCCUAAUCUUAGUGGGAAAGCGUUUACCUUCUUACCAUUGAGUAUAUCUUGGCUGAGUUCUUCACAGACAUUCUUUAUCCAGUUGAGGCAGGGCGUGGGUUGUCCUUGGUAAGGCCUUGUUGUCCCUCAGUGUUCAGGAGAGCUGGAGGGAUGGCCACUGUUUGGCUCCUGGCAGCAGUGACUUCUAUCUUCUUUCUCUCUUGAUUGUCCUGGCUAGAGACUCAUCUAUUUUAUUAAUUUUCUUCAAAGAAUCAUCUUUUGAUUUUUGUCUAUUGAUUUCAAUCUCAUUCUUAUCAAUUUUUAUUGACUUCCUUCAAAGAGUUAACUUUUGGUUUUCUUGAUUUUUAUCUAAGCACUUUUCUGUUUUCAAUCUCACUGAUUUCUGCUGUAAUUUUAUUAUUUAUUUUCAUCUUACUUUGGACUUAAUUUUCCUUUCUUUUUUUUAGUUUCAUAGUAUGGAACUUUAUGUGAUUGCUUUUAGAGCUUUCUUCUUUUGCAGUAACAUGUCUUCAGUACUUCCCUCUAUGCUCUGUAUUUCCUGUAUCACACACAUUUUGAUAAGUUCUGUGUACACUCAUUUAGUUUAAAAUAUUAUUUGAUUUAUUUUGUAACCUAUAUUUAGGAGCAUGUUGUUUGAUUCCCCAGUAUUUUGGGGUUCUCUGCUUUUCCUGUUACUGCAUUAUCGUUCAAUUCCAUUUUGUGGGACUGAGCUUUAUGGCUCACAGUGUGGUCUAUUUUGAGCAUUCUGCGUGUGCUUGAGAAGAAUAUCUCUCUCUUGUUGGGUUGAAUGGUCUCUACAUACCCCUUGGGCCCAGGGCAUUGCUGAGUGACUGAGUUCCCGCCUGCGGCGUCUGUUUCUGAUAGAGGGUGUUGUGGCCCCCGUCUCCCCUUGGCUCUGUCAGUCUUGCCUCACACAUCUUGACACUCCUUAGGCAUAUACACAUUGAGGGCUGUUACAUUGUCUCGGAAAACUGAGCCCUUUAUGGUCGAGUGACACCCACUUUGUGCACCGACACCUCUCUUGCUGAACAGCCUGCUCUGUUGGAAAUGAUGACAGCUUCUUCCACUUCCUUUCUGUUGGUGUGAACCUGCGAUCGCUUUAUCCUUCACUUUCAAUCUAUUUGUGUCUUGGUAUUCACAGUGUUUCCUACAGACAGUGUGUACUUGGGUCUUGUUUGAUGUUCCGCUGACCACAUCUGUCUUUUCAUUGUCUUAACUGCUAACAUUCAAAGUAAUGAUUAUGAUAAAUAUGAUAAGUGAUAAAUAGUAUGUAUUAACCAUAUUUAUUAUUAUUUUCUAUUUGUUAUCCUUGCUCUUUGCUCCUAUUUUUCUUCUGUUCUUUUUCUACCUUUUGUAGUUUUGAUUGAAAAUCUUAUGAUUCCAUUUUCUUUACUUUCCUAGCCUAUUAUUCAUACUCAUUUUUAUUCUUUAAAGUGUUUUCCGUAGAGUUUGUAGUAAACAUUCGCAACUACUCCAAGGUGACGUUCCAGUAACGCUGCACCACUCCACCAUCUAAAGCAUCACAGACAGUACAGCCAUUCACUGCUGAACCAGGGGGGUGGAUUUUUGAGAAGGGCAUCAUCGUGAGGUGAUGUCACUGUUGUGCCAACACCACGGUGCGCACACACAAACUAAGGUGGCCUGAUGUCAUGGGUGAUCUCAUGGGGUUGCUGGUACCUGCAGUUAUCACCGACUGAAACACCAUCACACAGGACCUCCGUGUCUUGAUUUUACCUAAGGAUCUGACUGUAAUUCAGGUCCCUCUCCUUCAUUUUAAGCCCAAGUGAUUAUGUGUACAUAUUUGCACAUUUGUGUAUUCAAUGUACUUAGUCAUGUGUGCUUCUGUACGUAUCUUGGGUAUUUAUAUUGGGUGUGUGCAAAGAUGUGUGUAUGUUGGUUAUGUACGCAGGCAUACAUAGGUAAAUACGGUGUGGCUGUUAUUUUGAAUAACGUAUUGUCUACUAGCUUGAUGUAGAGUAAGAAGAGGUUUUUAUCUCACCUUUGAUGCUCUUCCUUUGUCUGGGUCUGAACUUCUUUUGACUUGUUUUUGCAAGGCAGGUCUCCUGCUAACUAGUGUCAGAUUUUGAGAACGUCUUUAUUUCUCCUUCACACUUUAAGGAUGAGUUAGUUUUCAGAGCACAGAGUUCUAGUUUGGUGCUAUUCUCUUGACAUUUUAAGUGACUUGUCCCUCUCUCUUCCUGCCCAUGUGGUUGCUGAUGAGACAUCAGAUGUAAUUCAUGUCUCUGUUUCCUUUCAGGUAUGGUGUUUACCCUGACUUUUUUCAGGACAGUUUGUCUUUGAUUUUUCUGUAGUUUGAAUAUGAUUAUAAGUGUCAUUCUUAAUCUCUCCCAUUUAUCCUGCUGGGUGUUCUCUGAGUUUCCCGGAAAGUGGUUUGGUAUCCAGCCACAGUUGGGGACAGUCUUAGUCAUCAUUGUUUCAAAUAUCCCACCCCCUUCCUUCUGGUGUCCCACUGUGUGUCUGCCGUACUCUAUCCCCUCCUCUCUCUCCCUUCCUUCUGGCGUCCCACUGUGUGUCUGCCGUACUCUGUCCCCUCCUCUCUCUCCCUUCCUUCUGGCGUCCCACUGUGUGUCUGCUGUACUCUGUCCCCUCCUCUCUCUCCCUUCCUUCUGGCGUCCCACUGUGUGCCUGCUGUACUCUGUCCCCUCCUCUCUCUCUACUUUCUGCAGUUGUUCCACAGUCCUUGGAUAUUCUGGGGUUUUUUUUCAGGCUUUUUUCUCUUUUCCAUUCAGGCUUUUUGGUUUCUGUACCCUCAAGCUCAGAGAUUCUUUCCUCUGCUGUGUUUGGUAAACCAGUUUAGUCUAUCAAGGGCAUUGAUCAUUCCUGUUAUAAUUAUUUUGGUAUGUAGCUUUUCUUUUUGGGUCUUUCUUAGACUUUCUGGCUCUCUGCUUUCCUCAGGCUGUAUUAUAUUUAGGAUACUUGCAUCAAAAAUGUUUAAAAUUCCAGUUCUGAUAAUUCCAAUAUCCCUGCUCUGAAUCUGAUUCUGAUGCUCGCUCUUUUCAAACUUUUUUUCCCUUUAUUAGCGUAAGAUUUCUCAUAAGUCUUCCCCAGUAAGUUUGUCUUUGGGGCAGGACAUCGUGCUCU